GACAUAAUUUUUGAUUAGUAAAUUGUCCAUUAAAUACAGCUUUUUAAAAUACACUUCAAAUAUCAAUAAAAUGAUUUUUACAUUACUGAAAAAAUAUGAUUUACCAAUAUAUUGACUUAAAUUUAAAUUUCCCUAUGUUUACUGUAUUAACUGGUGCCGUAUAUUUAGUGAAUCAAUGAUUAUCUCCCCUUGUACAAUGUCUUGUAUUGAUAUUGACUCAAUGAUUGUAUACAUGAAAAUGAUCAACAGCCAGAGAAAAAGAUAGAACAUUAUCCUCCUAUUGAUUCUUCUAUUAAACAAAAGUCAACGUUCGGCCCACUGCUUCUGUUGAUAAUACACACGUUAAAAACAGGAGACAAAAUGUCAAUUGACUAUUCGGAAUUAAACCAAUAUUGGUGGGGGC
rnacentral:lncRNA from 1 species